CCAGACUCCUACGGGAGGCAGCAGUGGGGAAUAUUGGACAAUGGGGGGAACCCUGAUCCAGCGACGCCGCGUGAGUGAAGAAGUAUCUCGGUAUGUAAAGCUCUAUCAGCAGGGAAGAAAGAAAUGACGGUACCUGACUAAGAAGCCCCGGCUAACUACGUGCCAGCAGCCGCGGUAAUACGUAGGGGGCAAGCGUUAUCCGGAUUCACUGGGUGUAAAGGGAGCGUAGACGGCGAGACAAGUCUGGAGUGAAAGGCCGGGGCCCAACCCCGGGACUGCUCUGGAAACUGCCUGGCUGGAGUACAGGAGAGGUAAGUGGAAUUCCUAGUGUAGCGGUGAAAUGCGUAGAUAUUAGGAGGAACACCAGUGGCGAAGGCGGCUUACUGGACUGUAACUGACGUUGAGGCUCGAAAGCGUGGGGAGCAAACAGGAUUAGAUACCCGGGUA
rnacentral:rRNA from 1 species